rnacentral:rRNA from 1 species
AAAGUGGGGGAUCUUCGGACCUCACGCUAUUAGAUGAGCCUAGGUCGGAUUAGCUAGUUGGUGAGGUAAUGGCUCACCAAGGCGACGAUGUAACUGGUCUGAGAGGAUGCAUCACACUGGAACUGAGACACGGUCCAGACUCCUACGGGAGGCAGCAGUGGGGAAUAUUGGACAAUGGGCGAAAGCCUGAUCCAGCCAUGCCGCGUGUGUGAAGAAGGUCUUCGGAUUGUAAAGCACUUUAAGGGAGGAAGGGCAGUUACCUAAUACGUGAUUGUUUUGACGUUACCGACAGAAUAAGCCGGCUAACUCUGUGCCAGCAGCCGCGGUACAGAGGGUGCAAGCGUUAAUCGGAAUUACUGGGCGUAAAGCGCGCGUAGGUGGUUUGUUAAGUUGGAUGUGAAAGCCCCGGGCUCAACCUGGGAACUGCAUCCAAAACUGGCAAGCUAGAGUAUGGUAGAGGGUGGUGGAAUUUCCUGUGUAGCGGUGAAAUGCGUAGAUAUGGAACACCAGUGGCGAAGGCGACCACCUGGACUGAUACUGACACUGAGGU